rnacentral:lncRNA from 1 species
AAAGUGAUUUCCCAAAGUCAGGCACAAACUGGGCCUGCCUGGAUUUCUAGAAGGAAGAAGCUGUUCCAAGCACAGUGCAAUUCCAGAGCUUCCCAGUGAAGAGGGCAACAGAGCAGAGUCUGGCUUCCUCUUGCUCUUGCAGAGGAAUGUUCCCAGAGCAUGCAGCCUUGUGAUCUGUUCUGGAGUCGGCCAUGUGCACGUCUGAGAGGAACAAAUUGUCUAUGGUCUUAUUAAAGAAUCUUCCCACAAAUUGAAACAUCAUGCACCUCUUGGUGUGGGCCACUGAGAAGACAUCCUUUAUGUAGCAUUUGUCCCCAAUCUGCUUGAUCUAAGCCUGAUCACGGGGAAGAAAUCAGAAUGUGAGAGGCAUCCUACAAACUGCAUUCUUCAGAAACAACACGUGAAAGACAACCAAGACUGAAAAGUGAUUCAAUUUAAAGGAGAUGCACUUGACUUGGCAACUGAAAGCAGCCUGUGACUCUGGACUGAGCACAGGAGCUAGGAGACAUGAUUUCUCUCCUGUGAGAUUGUUGGGCCAAUUGGUGCCAUCUAAACGUGGAUUGUACAUUAGGUCACAGUAUUGUAUCAAUGCUGAAUUUCCUCAAUAUGAUCAUUGCAAUGUGGUCAUAUGAGAGAAUGUUCUUUUCUUAGAGGUAAAGGAUUAAAAUUCUGGCAACUUAACCGGCAAAUGGUCUAACAAAAAUAAGGAUGGUAUUUACAGAUUGAAAGGAAAAAUAGAGAUAAUGCAAAUGUGGAAAAGUAUUAACAAUCUGUGAAUCUGAAGAAUCUGUGGAGCUCAUACAAUUAUACUCACACAUUUUCUAUAAGGUUAAAAUGUUUUUGAAAUAAUCUCUAAAAGGUCUGCUCUAGUGUUAAAUGAGGGGCAUAAAUAUGCAGGGAGGCACAGCCCAAUAAGAAUAGCAGUUAGCAUGUGUGGUGCUUUGCAAUGCAUAUUUAUUAAGUUGUUUAAUUAUCACAGCCCCCUUUACCCGUAGGCAUUAUCACCCCCUAUUUUACAGAGGUGGAAACUCCAGCUCAGAAAAGUGAAGUAUCUUGACUCACCAUGAUUUCACAGCAAGUAAGAGAGAAGUUUGGCUCCGAGAGUCCCUCUUUACUGCCUCAGUGUGAGGCCCAAAGCCGAGGUGCUGGAGUCAGAUUGCCUGGGCUCACACCUGCCUCUGUCCCAGGACUGACCACAUAACCUUGAGAGUUCAGGCUGCCUACAGUAGUGUUAGAAAAUGAAGGUCCUAUGAUUGGACUGUGGUUUGUCAGCUGGGACACUCAUGUUGGAGUGUGGUUACCACGGCAGCUGAGCUAAGAGGCGGAGCCUCAAGGGAGGUGUUUAGGUCAUGGGGGAAGCGCCAUCACAAAGAGAUUAAUGCUUUUUCUCUGACUGACCUUUCACGGGCACAGGACUGGAUUAUUUUGAGAGUAGGCUAUUCUCUUUUCCAGCCACACAUGGCCCUCACCAGAUGUGGUCAUCCAAUUUUGUACUUUACAGCCUUCAUAACCAUGGACCCAAUAAACCUUUUUUUCUUUAUAAAUUACCCAUUCUCAGGUAUUCUAUUACAGUAACAGAAAGUGGACAAGACCAAGUUAUAACUGCACUCACCUUAUAGGGUUUUGCUGGGGUUAAAUCUGAUACAGCAUGUUCAGGGGUCAAAAGAGCAUUUGGUGCAGUAUCUUCUGGAAAUGGGUCUACACAGAUGUUUGUUCUUAAAUCCCACUAGCCAUGUGGGUGAGAGUAGGUAAACAGAAAUAAAGAGUACAGAAAUACAGUCAAGUUUGAGACAGGGAAGUCAUGUGCAACAUCUACAUAUAGUGGGACAGUCAUUUCCCAGGAAGACUAGAAACCACUGCCAUACAUGCUGGAGUGUUUCUAGCCUUUUGCAGUUUCUAGAUCCUUGCCUAAAAUGUGCAGAAAAUUCCAUAGC